UCUCAUUGCCAAUGUCUUUUAA
rnacentral:miRNA from 1 species